GUUCCCCCUGUGGCAUGCUGAGGGUGUGCCUGAUCUCUGAAACCACAGAAUUUCUGUUAGAGGCUUUCAAAAAGCAAAAGCUUAGCGUAGUUCAAUUUUUAUGGGGGUUUUAGUAAGAGGCAAGUCUCUUAGUACCUUGUUUGGUGGGACCAACAAAGGAGCCACGUGUCUCCAGCCGCUUGCUGAGCCAUGCGGGGCCCUCCUGCACCUACGUACGUGUGUAUAUGCUAUAUGCAUACACACGCCCAGAUACAUGCAGUAGGUGGAGGUGCCCAGGGCAUUGGGAUGAGAGGGGUUAACAGGGAAGGACUGAAUCUCUGGGCCAUGAUUUCUUCAGAUUCCCUCAGAGACCCAGGUGUCCAGGGUGCCCCCCUCCCAAUACUGGGCCUGGGGCCAGUUGCAAUUCUUGGUUGUCACGUGGUUUCCCGGCUUAGCUGGGCCAGGGGAGGAGCAAGGUCCAGAGUCAACUCUGCUCCAAGCCCUAAGUUUACCAGAAACGAGCAGGCGGACAGACGGGUCUGAUCCCUCUUGGGUCCUCCAGCCAUGAGGCUCCUCUGGGGGCUGAUCUGGGCAUCUGGCUUCUUCGCCUUGUCUCUGCAGAAGCCCAGGUUGCUCCUGUUUUCUCCUUCUGUGGUUCACCUAGGGGUCCCCCUGUCAGUCGGUGUGCAGCUCCAGGAUGCUCCUUCAGGACAGGUAGUGAGUGGAUCAGUGUUCCUGAGAAACCCAUCCACAACACGUCAUGAGCUCUGCUCCCCAAAGGUGGAUUUCAGCCUCAGCUCAGACAAAGACUUCAUCCUCCUCAGCCUCCCGACCUCCCUGAAAGGCGCGGAGGACUGUCGCCUCCAUCUCCUCCACAGAGCCCCCGAGGUCCAGCUGGUGGCCCAGUCACCAUGGCUAACAAACAGACAGACAGACAGGCAGGGUGUCAACCUGUUUUUCUCCUCUCGCCGGGGACACCUCUUUCUGCAGACUGACCAGCCCGUUUAUAACCCUGGCCAGCGGGUUCGAUACCGAAUCUUUGCUCUGGAUCAGAAGAUGCGCCCGUCCACUGAUACCCUCACGGUCACGGUGGAGAACUCUCGUGGCUUGCGUGUGCGGAAGAAGGAGGUGUAUGUUCCCUCCUCCAUCUUCCAGGAUGACUUUGUGAUCCCAGACAUCUCAGAGCCAGGGACUUGGAAGAUCUCAGCCCGAUUCUCAGAUAGCCUGGAUUCCAACAGCAGCACCCAGUUUGAGGUGAAGAAAUAUGUCCUUCCCAACUUUGAGGUGAAGAUCAUUCCGGAAAAGCCCUACAUCCUGGCAACGCCUGGCUUUCUUAGUGAAAUCCAAGUAGUCAUCCAGGCCAGGUACAUCUAUGGGAAGCCAGUGCAGGGGGUGGCAUAUGUGCGCUUUGGGCUCCUGGGUGAGGACGGUAAAAAGACUUUCCUUCGGGGGCUGGAGAAUCAGACCAAGCUGGUAGAUGGCCAGUGCCGAAUUUCCCUCCCAAAGGCUGAGUUUCAGGGUGUGCUGGAGAAACUUAAUAUUAAUAUUAACGACCUCCCAGGGCUGCACCUCUAUGUUGCAGCAGCGAUCAUUGAGUCUCCAGGAGGGGAGUUGGAGGAGGCAGAGCUCACAUCCUGGCGUUUCGUGUCAUCUCCCUUCUCCUUGGAUCUAAGCAAAACCAAGCGACACCUUGUGCCUGGGGCCCCCUUCCUGCUGCAGGCCCUGGUCCGUGACAUGUCAGGCUCACCAGCCUCUGGCAUUCCUGUCAAAGUUUCUGCCAAGUUGUCUUCUGGAUCUACUUCUAAAAACCAGGACUUUCAACAGAACACAGACGAGAGCGGCCAAGUCGUUGUUCCCAUUAUUGUCCCUCAGACCACCUCAGAAGUGCAGCUCUCGGUGUCUGCAGGCUCCCCCUAUUCUGCCAUAAGCAAGCUCACCGUGAAAGCCCCCCUGUCCAGAAGAUCCGGGUUUCUGUCCAUUGAGAGGCUGGAUUCUCGACCCCCUAAAGUCAGGGACACUCUUAACCUAAACCUGCGAGCCGUGGGCAUCAGUGGGAGCUUCUCUCACUUCUACUACAUGAUCGUAUCCCGGGGCCAGAUCGUGUCUGUACAUCGAGAGCCCAGGAGGGACCUGACCUCUGUCUCCGUGUUUGUGGACCAUCACCUGGCACCCUCCUUCCACGUUGUGGCCUUCUACUAUCAUGGGGGCGUCCCGGUGGCCAACUCCCUGCGAGUGGACGUCCAGGCUGGGGGCUGUGAGGGCAAGCUGGAGCUGAACGUGGAUGGUAGCAAGGAGUAUCGUCCUGGGGACACUGUAAAACUCAACCUGCGAACAGAUUCUCCAGCCCUGGUGGCCCUGGGAGCCGUGGACAUGGCUCUGUAUGCUGUGGGCGGCAAGUCCCACAAACCCCUCGACAUGGUCAAGGUCUUCGAAGCUAUGAACAGCUAUGACCUUGGCUGUGGUCCUGGGGGUGGGGACAGUGCCCUUCAGACAUUCGAGGCAGCUGGUCUGGCCUUUUCUGAUGGAGACCAACUGACCCCAGUCAGAAAGAGUCUAAGAUGUCCCAAGGAGACAAAGGUCCGGAAAAAGAGAAAUGUGAACUUCCAAAAGGAGAUUCAUGAGAAGCUGGGCCAGUACGCUUCCCCCGUAGCCAAGCGCUGCUGCCAGGACGGGCUGACGCGACUGCCCAUGGCACGCACCUGUGAGCAGCGGGUGGCCCGUGUGCAGCAGCCGGCCUGCCGGGGGCCCUUCCUGUCCUGCUGCCAGUUUGCUGAGGGUCUGCGCAAGAAGGCCCGGGCGAGGGGCCAGGUGGGCCUUGCUCGAGCCAAGGAGCUCCUGCAGGAGGAGGACCUGAUCGAUGAGGAUGACAUCCCUGUGCGCAGCUUCUUCCCUGAGAACUGGCUUUGGAAAGUGGAAGCAGUGGACCACUCCUCCCAAUUGAGACAGCUGCUCCCGGACUCUCUGACCACGUGGGAAAUCCAUGGCGUGAGCCUGUCCAAAAGCACAGGCAUGUGUGUGGCCACCCCGGCCCAGCUCCGAGUGUUCCGUGAAUUCCACAUGCACCUCCGCCUGCCCGUCUCCGUCCGCCGCUUUGAGCAGCUCGAGCUGCGGCCUGUCCUCUACAACUACCUGGAUACAGAUAUGACCGUGAGCGUCCACGUGUCCCCAGUGGAGGGGCUGUGCCUGGCUGGGGGCGGAGGGCUUGCCCAGCAGGUGCUGGUCCCUGCGGGCUCUGCCCGGCCCAUUGGCUUCUCUGUGGUGCCCAUAGCGGCCGCUGCUGUGUCCCUGAAAGUGGUGGCUCGAGGAUCCUUGGAUUUCCCUGUGGGGGACGCAGUAUCUAAGGUCCUACAAAUUGAGAAUGAAGGGGCCAUUCAGAGGGAGGAGAUUGUCUAUGAACUCAACCCCCUGGACCCCCGAGGCCGGACCUUGGAAAUUCCUGGCAUCUCUGAUCCCAAUAUUAUCCCUGAUGGAGAUUUCAGGAGCUCUGUUAGAGUCACAGCCUCGGAUCCAUUGGACACUUUGGGCUCUGAGGGGGCCUUGUCACCGGGAGGCAUGGCUGCCCUCCUGAGGCUUCCCCAGGGCUGCGGGGAACAAACCAUGGUCCUCUUGGCUCCAACACUGGCUGCUUCCCGCUACCUGGACAAGACAGAGCAGUGGAGCAUGCUGCCCCCCGAGAUGAAGGACCACGCUGUGGAUCUGAUCCAGAAAGGCUACACGCGGAUCCAGGAGUUUCGAAAACCAGAUGGUUCCUAUGGGGCCUGGUUGAAGCGGGACAGCAGCACCUGGCUCACGGCCUUUGUGCUGAAGAUCCUGAGUUUGGCCCAGGAACAGGUGGGCGGCUCACCUGAAAAGCUGCAGGAGACGGCCAAGUGGCUGCUAUUGCAGCAGCUGGCUGAUGGGUCGUUCCACGACCCCCAUCCAGUUAUUCACAGGGGCAUGCAGGGGGGCUUAGUGGGAAAUGAUGAGACUGUGGCGCUCACAGCUUUUGUGGUCAUCGCCCUUCAUCAUGGGCUGGCUGUCUUCCCGGACAAGAAUUCAGAGCAGUUGAAGAGAGUGGAAGACUCCAUCUCAAGGGCAAACACCUUCUUGGGGGCAAAAGUAGGUUCUGGGCUCCUGGGGUCCCACGCAGCCGCCAUCACGGCCUACGCCCUGUCGCUGACUGAGGCCCCUGAGGACCUGCGAGAUGUUGCCCACAACAACCUCAUGGCCAUGGCCCAGGAGACUGGCGAUAACCUGUACUGGGGCUCAGUCCCCAGUUCUCAGAGCAAUGUCCUGUCACCCACCGUGGCUCCUCACAGCCCGGCAGACCCCGUGCCCCAGGCCCCGGCCCUGUGGAUUGAAACCACAGCCUACGGCCUUCUACACCUGCUGCUUUGGGAGGGCAAGGGCGAGUUGGCCGACCAGGCUGCAUCCUGGCUCACCCGCCAGGGCAGCUUCCAAGGCGGAUUCCGCAGCACCCAGGACACAGUGAUGGCCCUGGAUGCCCUGUCUGCGUACUGGAUCGCGUCCCACACCACCGAGGAGAAGGGGCUCAACGUGACCCUCAGCUCCGUGGGCCGCAGUGGACUCACGUCCCACGUGCUGCAGCUGACCAACCACGAAGUUCAGGGGCUGGAGGAGGAGCUGCAGUUUUCCUUGGGCAGCAAGAUUAAUGUGAAGGUGGGAGGAAACAGCAAAGGAACCUUGAAGGUCCUUCAUACCUACAACGUCAUGGACGUGAAGAACAUGACCUGCCAGGAUCUUCAGAUUGAAGUGACGGUCGUGGGCCACGUCCAGUACACAAUGGAAGCCAACGAGGACUACGAGGACUAUGAGUACGAGGACCUUCCGGCCAGGGAUGACCCGGGGGCCCACUCCCAGCUCGUGACGCCCCUGCAGCUGUUUGAUGGCCGGAGGAGCCGCCGCAGAAGGGAGGCCCCCAAGGUGGCUGAAGAGCAGGAGUCCAGGGUGCAGUACACCGUGUGCAUCUGGGCAUGUGUCUCCACAGGCGGAAUGGCAAGGUGGGGCUGUCGGGCAUGGCCAUUGCAGACAUCACCCUCCUGAGUGGAUUCCACGCCCUGCGGGCGGACCUGGAGAAGUUGACCUCCCUCUCUGACCGUUACAUGAGUCACUUUGAGACCGAGGGGCCCCACGUCCUGCUGUACUUCGACUCGCCUUAUCUGGCUAACACAAAGUUAUCAACCCUCUGACGGCCCUCAAAAGUUGUUUUUGAACAUUUCCUGUAACAUCUUGGAGAAAAUGUGCAAAAGGCGUGUUAAUGCUGUGAUACCAUUAGCCAAGUGUUUGUGGUCAGGGGAGACCCUCCUGCCCUGUGUGUGCAGAGGGGACAGACCCUAUUAGCUUGAGAAGCCAGGCAGAGGAGUCUGGUUGGACACAAUGGAAAAUGAGGAGCCAGGAGGAUUGCAAGUCGGGUUGCUGACCACGCAGCUUAGGAGGGAAACCUGCGGGAUACCAGGCUGGACUGGACCAGCGUGGGCACGAAGAGAGGGCUCUGGGCCUGGACAUGAAUGGCUGGGCCGCGUGGGAGCACCUGCUGUCGGGUUAUGGCAGAUGAGGCAGGCCUCCGCUGUGUCAGUGAAGGGAGGCUGUCCAGAGGCCGAGUGGGUUUGGAGGGCAGGCAGAGGGAGUUUGGAGAAUGUAACACAUCCUGCAACAAUCCCAGCGCAAGAGCAAGGCUGAAAGCUUGGUUCAGGAAUCGCCAGUCUGAAGGGUUUGGGGAGAGCCAGGGAGUGGUGAGACCUCCACAGGGGAGCGCAGGGGAGGGGAAGGGCCAGGGCUGGGCACUGUGCUUCUGGGGGGGAGGGAGAGGGAUGUCAGAAGUGACCAGGUCAGAAUCCGGGCUGGUCCGGAAGCUAGCCCCGAGCUUAGGGAGCGUUUCAUGGAGAAUGUGUCCAUGAUUUGAGACUCUGCAGAGGGGCCCAGGGCUCUGGAGACUGGGAUGAGGUCACCACGUGGGCAGUGAAGUCACCAGAGACCUUGGGGAGCAGUUUUUAGAAAUCCGGAGGCUGGAAGGUAACAAACUGUGAAGGACACUGACGAUAAGAUCAACCGGAACUGAACAGGCCAAGGAAAUACAUCAGAGCAGCCUGCAGGGCCCAGAGGUGGGUGCCUGACCUCUCCGCCCUCCCCCUGCCCACGCCAGGUCCCCAUG